GACGAACGCUGGCGGCGUGCUUAACACAUGCAAGUCGAGCGAUGAAGUUCCUUCGGGAACGGAUUAGCGGCGGACGGGUGAGUAACACGUGGGUAACCUGCCUCAUAGAGGGGAAUAGCCUUUCGAAAGGAAGAUUAAUACCGCAUAAGAUUGUAGCGUCGCAUGAAGCAGCAAUUAAAGGAGUAAUCCGCUAUGAGAUGGACCCGCGUCGCAUUAGCUAGUUGGUGAGGUAACGGCUCACCAAGGCGACGAUGCGUAGCCGACCUGAGAGGGUGAUCGGCCACAUUGGGACUGAGACACGGCCCAGACUCCUACGGGAGGCAGCAGUGGGGAAUAUUGCACAAUGGGGGAAACCCUGAUGCAGCAACGCCGCGUGAGUGAUGACGGUCUUCGGAUUGUAAAACUCUGUCUUCAGGGACGAUAGUGACGGUACCUGAGGAGGAAGCCACGGCUAACUACGUGCCAGCAGCCGCAGUAA
rnacentral:rRNA from 1 species